ACUUCACACUCAAAGAGAAGCAAAGAAAACAGGUCAGCAAGACAGAAAGGAGGUAUGAGGUUGCAAAGCUAAACUUAUGAUGUGAACAAAUUCAGAAUGAAGCAGUUUGGACAGACCAGGGUAUUUUGGAGUUGUUUGCAUUACUGGUACUACAGUGUAGAAUAUAUCUACACAUUUAUAAAUGCAAAUGAAGAAUGAACAUGUACUUGAAAUGCCUUUGCAAAUACUAGGCUUUGAGAAAUCUGACCUCAUCCGGCCAUUCUAAAAGAAUUAGGUGUUCGAUAACUGUGAGCAGACUCAGUGUCUCAGUAAGUGUAUUUGACAAGCUGAGUUCGACACUCGAAGUAGGUAGUGUCAGUUUGUCAAAUACCCCAAGUGAGGCAUUGCACAGCAUCUCAGCCUAGCAGCACAUGAAGACAGACGUCAAGACAUGUUUGUGCAUUUUUCGUAUACAUACUAUCAUUAAAUUGAAAAUGUUUUAAUUAACAGACUUCUUUCCAAGGAAUUCGAAAAUAUUUAACAGGCAGAGCAAGUUAUAAGCGUUUUUGCCAGAAAUUAAGUUAAUGUUUGAAAUGUAUUAUGAAUAAAGAUUUAAUCAGCACAUAUUUUAUUUAUACUGGAAAAUAGUGUAAAAUUCUACCAUAUUGUUUGCAUUUAGACUGGUUUUUAACUGUAAUAUUCUGGCUGAAAUCUCUAAAUUUAUUAAAGUUAUACUUGUAUAAUC